UACGGAGGAUGCAAGCGUUAUCCGGAAUGAUUGGGCGUAAAGCGUCCGCAGGUGGCUGUGUAAGUCUGCUGUUAAAGAGUCUAGCUCAACUAGAUACAAGCAGUGGAAACUACACGGCUAGAGUACGUUCGGGGCAGAGGGAAUUCCUGGUGUAGCGGUGAAAUGCGCAGAUAUCAGGAAGAACACCCGUGGCUAAGGCGGCUCUCUAGUACGGUACUGACGCUGAGACGCGAAAGCGUGGGGAGCAAACAGG
rnacentral:rRNA from 1 species